rnacentral:rRNA from 1 species
UACGUAGGGUCCGAGCGUUGUCCGGAAUUACUGGGCGUAAAGAGCUCGUAGGUGGUUUGUCGCGUUGUUCGUGAAAACUCACAGCUCAACUGUGGGCGUGCGGGCGAUACGGGCAGACUAGAGUACUGCAGGGGAGACUGGAAUUCCUGGUGUAGCGGUGAAAUGCGCAGAUAUCAGGAGGAACACCGGUGGCGAAGGCGGGUCUCUGGGCCGAUACUGACGCUGGAGGAGCGGAAAAGCCGUGGGGAGCGAACAGG